rnacentral:rRNA from 1 species
UACGUAGGGUGCAAGCGUUGUCCGGAAUUAUUGGGCGUAAAGAGCUCGUAGGCGGUUUGUCGCGUCGAAUGUGAAAACCCGGGGCUCAACCCCGGGCCUGCAUUCGAUACGGGCAGACUAGAGUUCGGUAGGGGAGUCUGGAAUUCCUGGUGUAGCGGUGAAAUGCGCAGAUAUCGGGAGGAACACCGGUGGCGAAGGCGGGACUCUGGGCCGAUACUGACGCUGAGGAGCGAAAGCGUGGGGAGCAAACAGG